GAAACGUGCGCGGCUCAUGCGCGCUACCAUGCAGUCGGACGGUAGCACAUAGAUCUUGCUCUUGGGUGACGAGUGGGGGACGGGUGAGUAAUGUCUGGGGAUCUGCCCGAUAGAGGGGGAUAACCACUGGAAACGGUGGCUAAUACCGCAUAACGUCGCAAGACCAAAGAGGGGGACCUUCGGGCCUCUCACUAUCGGAUGAACCCAGAUGGGAUUAGCUAGUAGGCGGGGUAAUGGCCCACCUAGGCGACAAUCCCUAGCUGGUCUGAGAGGAUGACCACCCACACUGGAACUGAGACACGGUCCAAACUCCUACGGGAGGCAGCAGUGGGGAAUAUUGCACAAUGGGCGCAAGCCUGAUGCACCCAUGCCGCGUGUAUGAAGAAGGCCUUCGGGUUGUAAAGUACUUUCAGCGGGGAGGAAGGCGACGGGGUUAAUAACCCUGUCUAUUGACGUUACCCGCAGAAGAAGCACCGGCUAUCUCCGUGCCAGCAGCCGCGGGUAAUACGGAGGGUGCAAGCGUUUAAUCGGAAUUACUGGGCGUAAAGCGCACGCACGCGGUCUGUUUAAGUCAUGAUGAUGAAAAUCCCCCGGGGCUUCACCCUGGAGAACUGCUAUUUGAAACUGGGCAGGUCUUUGAGUCUUUGUAGAGGGGGGGGUAAAUAUUUCCGAGGUGUAGACGGCUGAAAUGCGGUAGAGAUCUGGGAGGAAAUACCGGUGGCCGAAGGCGGCCCCCUCUGGACCAAAGUAUCCUGACGGCUCAGUGACGAAAGCGUGGAGAGCCAAAACAAGGUAAUAGGAUAUCGCUUGUUAGUUCCACGGCCGUAAAACGAAUGUUCAGGAACUUUGGAGGGUUGUUGCCCUGGAGGAGUAGGCUUCUCGGGAGCUAAACGCGUUUAAGUCGACCGCCCUGGGGGAGUACGGCCGCAAAGGUUAAAACUCAAAUGAAUUGACGGGGGCCCGCACAAGCGGUGGAGCAUGUGGUUUAAUUUCGAUGCAACGCGAAGAACCUUACCUACUCUUGACAUCCACGGAAUUUGGCAGAGAUGCCUUAGUGCCUUCGGGAACCGUGAGACAGGUGCUGCAUGGCUGUCGUCAGCUCGUGUUGUGAAAUGUUGGGUUAAGUCCCGCAACGAGCGCAACCCUUAUCCUUUGUUGCCAGCGAUUCGGUCGGGAACUCAAAGGAGACUGCCGGUGAUAAACCGGAGGAAGGUGGGGAUGACGUCAAGUCAUCAUGGCCCUUACGAGUAGGGCUACACACGUGCUACAAUGGCGCAUACAAAGAGAAGCGACCUCGCGAGAGCAAGCGGACCUCACAAAAUGCGUCGUAGUCCGGAUCGGAGUCUGCAACUCGACUCCGUGAAGUCGGAAUCGCUAGUAAUCGUGGAUCAGAAUGCCACGGUGAAUACGUUCCCGGGCCUUGUACACACCGCCCGUCACCCCACUGGGAGUGGGUUGCAAAAGAAGUAGUGUAGCUUAACCUUCGGGAGGGCGCUAUCCACUUGGAUUACGG
rnacentral:rRNA from 1 species